UACGUAGGGAGCAAGCGUUGUCCGGAUUUACUGGGUGUAAAGGGUGCGUAGGCGGCUUAUCAAGUCAGGCGUGAAAUAUAUGGGCUUAACCCAUAGACUGCGUUUGAAACUGAUGAGCUUGAGUGAAGUAGAGGUAGGCGGAAUUCCCGGUGUAGCGGUGAAAUGCGUAGAGAUCGGGAGGAACACCAGUGGCGAAGGCGGCCUACUGGGCUUUAACUGACGCUGAGGCACGAAAGCAUGGGUAGCAAACAGGAUUAGAUACCCUGGUAGUCCAUGCCGUAAACGAUGAUUACUAGGUGUGGGGGGUCUGACCCCUUCCGUGCCGGAGUUAACACAAUAAGUAAUCCACCUGGGGAGUACGGCCGCAAGGUUGAA
rnacentral:rRNA from 1 species